UACAAAUUCAUCCAUGCUUGGCACACCAGGAGCUCUGCAGCAAGGUUCUGAAGCAAGGAAAAUCAGUUGUAUUUAAACGACGACAAAUAGUGUCUCCUGAGCUGCUCAUAGCCAAGAAAUCACUCUGGCCUCAUUCUUAAAAUAAGAUAUUUGGUUAGAACUAUUGAUUGUUUUCACUUUUGUUACCUUAGCAGAAUGACGCAUCAUCCAUCAAAAAUGUGAGUGUGAGGAUGGUGGGACCAUUCUGGCACGCUUGAGCAGCAGGGCCCUCUGAGCCCUCAGAUGUCGUCUAGCCAGGUGUGUGGGGGCCACUUGCCAUGCGCAGCUUCUCUCAGCAGAGGCUGACCAGAAUGGUGGUGAUAUGAAGAGUUGGGGAAUUCAGCUUGAAUACAAAACAUAAUACUGCUUCCACUUAAAAAGGCAAUGACAAUAGCUACCUCCUUCCAUUGUCCUGUUGGUGAACCAUACUCGAACAAAAAGGAGAAAUAAGACU